UACGUAGGGGGCUAGCGUUGUUCGGAUUUACUGGGCGUAAAGGGCGCGUAGGCGGCCUGUGCAAGUCAGUUGUGAAAUCUCCGGGCUUAACUCGGAACGGUCAACUGAUACUGCUCGGCUAGAGUGCGGAAGGGGCAACUGGAAUUCUUGGUGUAGCGGUGAAAUGCGCAGAUAUCAGGAGGAACACCGGUGGCGAAGGCGGGUCUCUAGGCCGACACUGACGCUGAGGAGCGAAAGCGUGGGGAGCGAACAGG
rnacentral:rRNA from 1 species